GUGAAUCAUCGAAUCUUUGAACGCAUAUUGCACUCUCUGGUAUUCCGGAGAGUAUGCCUGUUUGAGGGUCAUUGAAAUCAUAUUAAUUCCAAGAUUUCCCGGGAUUUAAAAUGGGUUGUCCGGUUUUUUUGGUUGCCUAAAAUCCAAGACAAGCCCAUUUUCCUGGGUUGCGGGGUACUUUUUGGUACCUCGUGGCCUAACCAGGAAUCAUUGGGCGUGGUAUUAAUUUUGCAGGA
rnacentral:misc_RNA from 1 species